rnacentral:misc_RNA from 1 species
AGUAUUUCAUCUAUUUUUGAAUAUGCACUAGGCAUGUUCAUGUUUGUAAUUCUUUAUAGCUAUUAGGUUUAUAAGUAAUUCUAGGCAUUAAUUCAUAUGUAGUAGUCACAUGGGAAUUUAUUUCUGAACAUUAGAUGAAUUGCCAGUUCAUUGGUUUCUAAAUAGGGUAAAAAUUAAUCAUAGUUUAUGUUGUUAUUAUUUUAUUAUUUUGAAAA